CCGUCGAUGGGCAGCAGAGAACUUUGUCGAACUGUGUUCAGCCCACCUGUCCGGGAUUUCAGCACACCUGGUCCAGUAUUGGAAUAAUGAGGUGAUUUGGAUCCAGAUGAUACAAUACAGAAGCUCCUCACCACCCUUUCUGGUCAUGAGGACUAUUGCCCCUUCAGUGAGGACCCAGAGCAGCUGAUCCCCUUGGAGAUGAG